AACGAACGCUGGCGGCAUGCCUAACACAUGCAAGUCGAACGAGACCUUCGAGUCUAGUGGCGCACGGGUGCGUAACGCGUGGGAAUCUGCCCUUGGGUUCGGAAUAACAGUUAGAAAUGACUGCUAAUACCGGAUAAUGUCUUCGGACCAAAGAUUUAUCGCCCAGGGAUGAGCCCGCGUAGGAUUAGCUAGUUGGUGAGGUAAAGGCUCACCAAGGCGACGAUCCUUAGCUGGUCUGAGAGGAUGAUCAGCCACACUGGGACUGAGACACGGCCCAGACUCCUACGGGAGGCAGCAGUGGGGAAUAUUGGACAAUGGGCGAAAGCCUGAUCCAGCAAUGCCGCGUGAGUGAUGAAGGCCUUAGGGUUGUAAAGCUCUUUUGCCGGGGACGAUAAUGACGGUACCCGGAGAAUAAGUCCCGGCUAACUUCGUGCCAGCAGCCGCGGUAAU
rnacentral:rRNA from 1 species